UACGUAGGGUGCGAGCGUUAAUCGGAAUUACUGGGCGUAAAGCGUGCGCAGGCGGUUUUGUAAGCCAGAUGUGAAAUCCCCCGGGCUUAACCUGGGAAUGGCAUUUGGGACUGCAAGGCUGGAGUACGGCAGAGGAGACUGGAAUUCCUGGUGUAGCAGUGAAAUGCGUAGAGAUCAGGAGGAAUACCGAUGGCGAAGGCAGGUCUCUGGGCUGAUACUGACGCUCAUGCACGAAAGCGUGGGGAGCGAACAGG
rnacentral:rRNA from 1 species